rnacentral:rRNA from 1 species
GAUGAACGCUGGCGGCGUGCCUAAUACAUGCAAGUCGAGCGAACAGACGAGGAGCUUGCUCCUCUGACGUUAGCGGCGGACGGGUGAGUAACACGUGGAUAACCUACCUAUAAGACUGGGAUAACUUCGGGAAACCGGAGCUAAUACCGGAUAAUAUAUUGAACCGCAUGGUUCAAUAGUGAAAGACGGUUUUGCUGUCACUUAUAGAUGGAUCCGCGCCGCAUUAGCUAGUUGGUAAGGUAACGGCUUACCAAGGCAACGAUGCGUAGCCGACCCGAGAGGGUGAUCGGCCACACUGGAACUGAGACACGGGCCAGACUCCUAAGGGAGGCAGCAGUAGGGAAUCUUCCGCAAUGGGCGAAAGCCUGACGGAGCAACGCCGCGUGAGUGAUGAAGGUCUUCGGAUCGUAAAACUCUGUUAUUAGGGAAGAACAAAUGUGUAAGUAACUAUGCACGUCUUGACGGUACCUAAUCAGAAAGCCACGGCUAACUACGUG